rnacentral:rRNA from 1 species
UUUAAUUCAUACAUCUUAUUUAAUUUCUGUUGUUUAUUUAUUUAUUUUUAUUUGAUGUUAAGAUUAAGGGGGAUUAGCUCCUUGUUCUGUUUUUAUAAUUUGUCUUUGGUUUAAUUUAGUUUUGUGGAUUUUAUGGUGAUUUUCUAUUUGAUUAUGUUAAAAUUUUAUUUGUUCUUUUUUUAAUUUUUUAUUAUUUAAGUUAUUUAUUGAAAUGUUUUCUUUACUUUAGUUUGUAUAGUAAUUAUUGUGUAAUUAGUAAAUUUUAUUGGUUGUUUUGUGAGAUGGUAGGUGUUAAUUACUUUUGAGGAAUUCGGCAAAGUUUUAUGUCCGCCUGUUUAACAAAAACAUCUUUUCUUGUUAGUUUUUGAAGUAUGGCCUGCCCACUGACUUAGAGUUGAAGGGCCGCGGUAUUUUGACCGUGCAAAGGUAGCAUAAUCAUUAGUUCUUUAAUUGUGAUCUGGUAUGAAUGGCUUGACGAGACAUAAGCUGUCUUAGAAGUAUUGAUUUAUUGAAUUUGGUUUUUGAGUUAAAAUUCUUAAAUGUUUUUAUGGGACGAGAAGACCCUAUAGAGUUUGACAAUUUUCCUAUUUAUUCAUUGUUUGUUUAUUUACAUUGAGUGGGAGUGAAUUGUUUUGUUGGGGUGAUGGGAGGAAUAUUGUUUAACUCCUCUUUGUUUUUAUAUAUUUAU